AUUACAUAUGAUGAUAAAGUUAGACAGGGACAUCAUAAACUCCAAGGAGUAUGUAUGAUGAAUAGUCUAAAAUGGGAAUCUCUUUGAUGUAUU